GACGAACGCUGGCGGCGUGCUUAACACAUGCAAGUCGAACGGAAAGGCCCUGCUUUUGUGGGGUGCUCGAGUGGCGAACGGGUGAGUAACACGUGAGUAACCUGCCCUUGACUUUGGGAUAACUUCAGGAAACUGGGGCUAAUACCGGAUAGGAGCUCCUGCUGCAUGGUGGGGGUUGGAAAGUUUCGGCGGUUGGGGAUGGACUCGCGGCUUAUCAGCUUGUUGGUGGGGUAGUGGCUUACCAAGGCUUUGACGGGUAGCCGGCCUGAGAGGGUGACCGGCCACAUUGGGACUGAGAUACGGCCCAGACUCCUACGGGGGGCAGCAGUGGGGAAUAUUGCACAAUGGGCGGAAGCCUGAUGCAGCAACGCCGCGUGCGGGAUGACGGCCUUCGGGUUGUAAACCGCUUUCGCCUGUAACGAAGCGUGAGUGACGGUAAUGGGUAAAGAAGCAACGGCUAACUACGUG
rnacentral:rRNA from 1 species